UCCAAUUUCACUUGGAGCUGCUUUAGCCCAAAGCAGGUUUCUGCUCAUUUCAGGAUGGAGAAUAAUAAUCUGUACUGGAAUUCCUUUUCAUGCAAUGCUUUCUCUUUAUUGGAAUCAACAGCAGCCAGCUGUAGCCCCAGUCCAACUAGGAACCAUCAGAGUGUGGAAGCAACUAUCCCAGUUGGGUGAGGAACCCUCUGUGGGAUAUUCAUGCAAUACACUACCAGUAAGAAUGCAGCAACAACAUCAUUCAGAUGCAAGAGGUAAACAAAGGGAGCUGAACUGAGUCUUUUCCAAUCUCUGCUGAGCAGCUGAAUGAAGACUUUCUUCAGCUUAAGAAACUCUUCAGUGACCAGAAAUGGGUGUUAAAAGCUGAUGCUAAGAAAAAUUCAACACAAGACUUGAACUUCUGCCCACCUGUCCAAGUGAGAUCUCUGUUUGAUUGUUAUUCUUUUGAA